UACGGGGGGAGCAAGCGUUGUUCGGAUUUACUGGGCGUAAAGGGCGCGUAGGCGGUCGUUCAAGUCGAGUGUGAAAGCCCCCGGCUCAACUGGGGAGGGUCACUCGAUACUGAUCGACUUAAGGACGAGGAGAGGGAAGCGGAAUUCCCGGUGUAGUGGUGAAAUGCGUAGAUAUCGGGAGGAACACCAGUGGCGAAGGCGGCUUCCUGGCCUGCUCUUGACGCUGAGGCGCGAAAGCUAGGGUAGCAAACGGG
rnacentral:rRNA from 1 species